CCUUACCUUUGUCAAAAGAAGAUUAGUCCACAAAGAGAAGUAAAUUCGACGAGAAAGCACAAACACAGCGACCGAAAGUUAAUAAAAAAUUUCACUGUUUCGACACAAAUAUGGCUCGAAAUUUUGAUUUGAAAAUUAAUGAAAAGUCUGACCAGCGGUACCAAAGCUAACAUGGGAAUACUUCAAUACCGUAUACUUGAAAGGGAGGGGUAAAUACUGAUCUAAAUAUAAAUUAUUCAAAC